GAUCCCAUAGCUCAGGUGGAUAGAGCGGCGGUUUCCUAAACCGCAGGCCGCAGGUUCGAGCCCUGCAGGGAUCA
rnacentral:tRNA from 1 species